rnacentral:pre_miRNA from 1 species
AAUGGGAUAGUUGGGUCAAAUGGUGGUUCCAUUCCAAGUUUUCUAAGGAAUCUCCAUACUGCUUUCUAGAGUGGUUGCACCAAUUUGCCAUCCCACCUGCAAU